rnacentral:rRNA from 2 species
UAGGCAAAAGAAGGCGGUAAAGAAGACGUGGUCAAGGCCAGCGUGAGUGAUGAAGGCUUUCGGGUCGUAAAACUCUGUUGUUAGGGAAGAACAAGUGCUAGUUGAAUAAGCUGGCACCUUGACGGUACCUAACCAGAAAGCCACGGCUAACUACGUGCCAGCAGCCGCGGUAAUACGUAGGUGGCAAGCGUUAUCCGGAAUUAUUGGGCGUAAAGCGCGCGCAGGUGGUUUCUUAAGUCUGAUGUGAAAGCCCACGGCUCAACCGUGGAGGGUCAUUGGAAACUGGGAGACUUGAGUGCAGAAGAGGAAAGUGGAAUUCCAUGUGUAGCGGUGAAAUGCGUAGAGAUAUGGAGGAACACCAGUGGCGAAGGCGACUUUCUGGUCUGUAACUGACACUGAGGCGCGAAAGCGUGGGGAGCAAACAGGAAUAGCUACCCCGCGUAGUCCACUGC